rnacentral:rRNA from 1 species
CAGUCGCCACGGUAAUACGGAGGGUGCAAGCGUUAAUCGGAAUUACUGGGCGUAAAGCGCACGCAGGCGGUCUGACAAGUCAGAUGUGAAAUCCCCGGGCUUAACCUGGGAACUGCAUUUGAAACUGUCAGGCUGGAGUCUUGUAGAGGGGGGUGGAAUUCCAGGUGUAGCGGUGAAAUGCGUAGAGAUCUGGAGGAAUACCGGUGGCGAAGGCGGCCCCCUGGACAAAGACUGACGCUCAGGUGCGAAAGCGUGGGGAGCAAACAGGAUUAGAUACCCGUGUAGUCCCUGUCUCUUAACA